rnacentral:rRNA from 1 species
UACGUAGGUGGCAAGCGUUAUCCGGAAUUAUUGGGCGUAAAGCGCGCGCAGGUGGUUUCUUAAGUCUGAUGUGAAAGCCCACGGCUCAACCGUGGAGGGUCAUUGGAAACUGGGAGACUUGAGUGCAGAAGAGGAAAGUGGAAUUCCAUGUGUAGCGGUGAAAUGCGUAGAGAUAUGGAGGAACACCAGUGGCGAAGGCGACUUUCUGGUCUGUAACUGACACUGAGGCACGAAAGCGUGGGGAUCAAACAGG